rnacentral:rRNA from 1 species
UACAGAGGUCUCAAGCGUUGUUCGGAUUCAUUGGGCGUAAAGGGUGCGUAGGCGGCGCGGUAAGUCGGGUGUGAAAUCUUGGAGCUUAACUCCGAAACUGCAUUCGAUACUGCCGUGCUUGAGGACUGGAGAGGAGACUGGAAUUUACGGUGUAGCGGUGAAAUGCGUAGAUAUCGUAAGGAAGACCAGUGGCGAAGGUGGGUCUCUGGACAGUUCCUGACGCUGAGGCACGAAGGUCAGGGGAGCAAACGGG